rfam:Corallococcus coralloides DSM 2259, complete genome.
GCCGGUGUAGCUCAGUCGGUAGAGCAACUGAUUUGUAAUCAGUAGGUCGCGGGUUCAAAUCCCGCCGCCGGCC